rnacentral:lncRNA from 1 species
UAUCUUUUUUUUUUUUUUUUUUUCUUUUUUUCCUUUUUAAUCCCUCUUAAUAAGGAAUAUUGCUACUAUUGGAAAUUGUCUUUCAGGUUCUUUCCAGUAAUUUUUAAAGUAAUGGUUAUGUUUUGUUUUUUCCCAGUAGUUCAUUUGGAUAAAAACUAUGUCCUAUUUUUAAUAUCCACCUCAAUGCUUUUAGCCUCUGGUCAUAAGCUGUGUAAUGAGUCACAGACUGUUACACACCUUGCUGCCUCAGGGCCUGUUUUUUUUCUCUCCCUUAAUGUUCUGAACAUGAAAAAACUUUCUUAGAAAUGGAAUACAUUUACCAUAAAAUGUUUUCCCUGAAAAGGAAAACCUAAGUAAUUCUAAAUUAUUUCCAAAUGGGUAUCAGCAUCAUAACAAUUGGUUGGCCCAAAAUGGUGGGGUGGGGUGGGUGGUUGUCAUAACUCGUUUUCAGAAUGAGAUGAGGGCAUCUUUCCUUGGCCACCUGCUUUGUGGUUGGACACCAUUGUGCUCAGUUAGAGCAGAGCACAGCACAAAGCUUUGAAAAGUGUUGGAAACAAAACAUCUCAUUCUGAUCAUUUGUUUGUUGUUUUUUUUGUUUGUUUUUUGUUUUGUUUUGUUUUUUUUUUAAUAUGGGUGGGAGGGGAGGGUACUGUGUCCCAAAAGGGAGGGUGUCUGCACUAAGGAUUUAGAAACACUUUGGAAGCUCAUAGCCUCAUGGGAAACUGCCUUUAGCCACACUCCUGACCUUUAGAUGAGUAACAAAAAGAUGGAAUGAGUUUGUGGGAAUUAAGCCAUGUUAUUUUAAUUGGAUACUUUUUUUUUUCAACUUUCUGUGUAUCUUUAAAAUUGUUACUGUGGAAUGAUUUUCUUGCCAAAUAUCUUUGUCAGGCAAAAUUAUUGGCCUCAAGGGAGGUGAAGUAAGCCAGAUUUUGGGUGAAUUUAUGUGGACUUUGGUGAGUUUGUAGUUCUACUUUAUAUUCAUAAAGAUAGUUUUUUAAAACUCCCAAAGCAAAUCUAUUUUCUUCUCUAAUGUAAAAACUCAUCUUUGGAGGAAAGAGUUAAGUGUCCAAGGGUUGUAACAGAUAUGAGGUCAGAGGGAGCUCGCCUGGCCUGGACGCUGCCCCUCCACAGCUGACAGACUCCAACAGAAGUGUAUUUAAAUCUCCAGUGGACAGAGCUGGGCAGGGCAAGGGAGGGUGGGCCUGGGUUAGUGAGAUGCAGGCUGCUGUAUUUUAACCAGUGGUUCUUGGGGAGGGGUGCCUGGAGAAUACAAAGUCACUUCCCUUUUUUGAAACAAAACCAAUUAGAAAAAAACUACAAUUUUUUUGUUUAGUAAAAAUAAGAAAAUUCUAAUGUCCCUAGUCACAAGGGACCAGUUCCACUUUGAACAGUAGGAACUUAAAAAUUUGAAAACAUUUGGGGAAAGGGAAAAUUGGCUUUCUGUUUAAUUGGCAAAUGUUCCAGUGGGAGGGUCUGUUUUUGUUGGGAUGUGUUACAGUAUAUGUACAUGUCUAUGGACCUGAGUCUUUAAGGAAUUUAUACAUGGUUCAGAAAAGAUGGUUGGUAAAAUCUUGAUUAUUUCUUUUUGUUAAUUUAUCUCAAUAAAAGCCCACUGGAACUCC